UAGGUGCAUCCAAAAAACGUGGUCAG
rnacentral:piRNA from 1 species